UACGGGGGGGAGCAAGCGUUGUUCGGAGUUACUGGGCGUAAAGGGUGUGUAGGCGGUUGGAUAAGUGUGGUGUGAAAUCUCCCGGCUCAACUGGGAGGGUGCGCUACAAACUGUCUGACUAGAGUGCGGGAUGGGAAAGUGGAAUUCCUGGUGUAGCGGUGAAAUGCGUAGAUAUCAGGAGGAACACCGGUGGUGUAGACGGCUUUCUGGACCGUAACUGACGCUGAGACACGAAAGCGUGGGUAGCAAACAGG
rnacentral:rRNA from 1 species